UUUAUACUGGCUGCAGAGAUUGGGCAGGGGGCCGAAACGGUGCUGUCUCAGAUAUGUGCCGAAGCUUUGGGGAUUUCCAUAGACAGUGUGCGCAUCAGAACCGAGGAUACAGAUAUAAGCCCUAUUGACUUAGGAGCCUAUUCGUCGAGGAUAACUCUGAUGGGCGGAAAUGCCGUAGCCCGAGCGGCAAAAGAUGUCCUGAAAAAACUGUUUGAAACAGCGGCAGUUUUACUUGGAGAAGAGGCCGCAAGUCUUGAAGCCAAAAACAGCCGCAUUUAUCUUAAAGAUAAUCCGGAUAUAGCGAUGGAUUGGGCCGAGGCUGCGCGAAAGUACUUCAAUGACAAUGGGCCGCUUGUGGGAACCGGUUGGUACAAACCUCCGGAAGGACUGGGCGGAGAUUAUAAGGGUGCAGCCGUAGGGACCAGCCCGGCGUAUUCUUUUUCAAGUGCGGUCU
rnacentral:rRNA from 1 species